UAUAUACCAAUCUUCAAUUUCUAGUAAUCCAGGAAUUAUUGUAUAAUGAUUAUGAGUAAACUUCAAUAGCCUUCAUAUAUAUUAGCGCUCUAGAGAAUCAAAGGAAGUUCAUCAAUGCAACCCUUCCCCGAAUAAGGGAAGCCUUUAUUUCUCCGCUUAUAUAUGAGUCUACCAUAUUAUUUUCUAUUUCUGCACGUUUCAUUCCAGGCUGUGCACGGAGUUGGUCGUGUUGUAUUCAAUUCACAAACCUAUGGCCUUGACAAGUCUCAAGCAAGCAUGCAAAUUAUGUGAACGCUGCAUGAAUGUGUUUCAGUGAAAUUGAUGCAGUGAUUUUCGGAUUGCUAUGCAUGUUUCCAUAUUUCUUGCGUACCAGUCGUCCUCGGUAAACUGAAAAUUUAGAAAAAGAUUUAUCCAUUGAAUUACAAGAAUACGACAAGUGAAGGUUAGACGUACCGAAGUCGACCAGUUUGACGCUAGCGUUGCUCGUCAGCAAGAUGUUCGCUCCUUUGAUAUCCCGGUGCAUCACAUUCUUCUGAUGAAGAACUUCCAAACCCUUUUGAUGGAAAAGAUCUGCAGUCGCCCAACCGGCAUACUUAAACCGUUUGUUUGUCGUUGCCAAGGUUCUGUAGAUCGCCGGCUGGUGAAUAUCUUGG